GUCGAGCGGAUGAAAGGAGCUUGUCUKKGGAUUCAGCGGCGGACGGGUGAGUAAUGCCUAGGAAUCUGCCUGGUAGUGGGGGACAACGUUUCGAAAGGAACGCUAAUACCGCAUACGUCCUACGGGAGAAAGCAGGGGACCUUCGGGCCUUGCGCUAUCAGAUGAGCCUAGGUCGGAUUAGCUAGUUGGUGAGGUAAUGGCUCACCARGGCGACGAUCCGUAACUGGUCUGAGAGGAUGAUCAGUCACACUGGAACUGAGACACGGUCCAGACUCCUACGGGAGGCAGCAGUGGGGAAUAUUGGACAAUGGGCGAAAGC
rnacentral:rRNA from 1 species